AUUUUGACUGUGGUUUAUAGGGGGCGUUUUGAAAUUCCUUCCAAAGAAGUCUGGCAUUCAUUCUAAAUCGACCUGGAGGCUGAGGAGCCCUGGAGUUGUUCCAGCUGCUUCAAACUCUGCCAGAAGUCAUUGCCUG